UGCGUAGGGUGCAAGCGUUGUCCGGAAUUAUUGGGCGUAAAGAGCUCGUAGGUGGUUUGUCGCGUUGUUCGUGAAAACCGGGGGCUUAACUCUCGGCGUGCGGGCGAUACGGGCAGACUAGAGUGCGGUAGGGGAGACUGGAAUUCCUGGUGUAGCGGUGAAAUGCGCAGAUAUCAGGAGGAACACCGGUGGCGAAGGCGGGUCUCUGGGCCGUAACUGACGCUGAGGAGCGAAAGCAUGGGGAGCGAACAGG
rnacentral:rRNA from 1 species